rnacentral:rRNA from 1 species
AACGUAGGAGACAAACGUUAUCUGGAGUUACUGGGCGUAAAGGGCGUGUAGGUGGUUUCGUAAGUCUGGCGUGAAAUUUCUCGGCUUAACCGAGGCAGGUCGUCGGAUACUGCGGAACUUGAGGACGGUAGAGGCGUGUGGAAUUCCGGGUGUAGUGGUGAAAUGCGUAGAUAUCGGGAGGAACACCAGUGGCGAAGGCGACUACCUGGCCUGUUCUUGACGCUGAGGCGCGAAAGCUAGGGGAGCAAACGGG